AAACUGAUGUUUCUUCCAACCCCAUGAAAGGUACAGUAUGAUAAAAACUGUUCAGACCCAAAGCCGUGUCUGCCUUUGUGAGCUAUAAUUAUUUUAGGAUCUGGCAGGAUCACAUUGAAACGUUUUAAAUGGAACUAGUUUUGCAGAGAGGUUUUGCUGCCUCAGCUCUUUGGAGGAAGGUGGCUACAAUUCAAAUUCUUCUAAAGAUAAAUUUUUAAGAAAAUAAGACAAAAGCUUAGUGAUGGUUGAGCCCUUUGUAUCAGAAAAUCUCUAAGCAGCUAAGUUACAUUGAGAGGGUUGGAUAAGGGACUCUGUUACUAGAAACGCUUUUUAAGGGAGAAGAAGUCUUCCAAUCUGGCUUCAAUAUCAUGCUCAUGUGGAUAUUAAUAUCCUUGGAAUUAAUAGCUUUCCCCCCUGGAAAAUGUGAAACGGCAACAUCUUAAAAUGGCCGAUAUGUGUUAGGUAGCUGUUUCUAAUUUUGCUUUAAAGAAGUGUCUGUAGUGCCUAGCUCCUGUUACAGACUAAUGACCUUCCAAAUAUCACUUUUAACAAGUUUAGACUUUAAGUUACAAGAGCACAAAGCAGCGCAAGAGUCAAGUUGAAGGAUGAGAAGUUUGCACCUGCUGCUCUGCUCUGCACCCUUAAUUAUAUGAGGACAGAUGUGCUUGCUCAGUCUCUGUACAUUACUGCUGGCGGUGGAUCUGCCAAGGCUCUGGCAAAACUUGCAAAGGAAUUAGUGCUCUCAGGGCCAUAAAGUAGAGGCACCUUUCUAUUUUUACUUCAUAGCAAAGCAGACUUCUCUGGACGUGAUAUGGUGCUAAUUCACUCUUACAAUCAAGGGUUGCAACUAAUUCAUCCUUUUGCUUAAUCACAGCGAUCAGAGGUGGAAGAAAGCAAUACAUGAGUGUUCCAGCUGCUUUGCACAUCCACCAGUACUUGGUAGUGUCAGUUUUUGUAAAUUAUAACCAUUCUAAAAGGCAAAGGAGCUUUGAAUUUGUGAUGAUAAAACUUGAAAAAGAAUUUGUAAUCUGCCACAUUCUACUGCUCGAAACUCCCAGAGAAACCACGUAGCACAUCUGACUUAUCCUCCAACAAGGACUGCCCUCUGAUGUGUCUGAAAGAAAGGAACACCAACUGCUGCAUUGUAACCUUCUCUUUGGGGAGGCCAAUGUGGCAGGAACCUGAUAUCUCUAGCCAACAGUCACUGAGGACCUGAGGCCUGCCAACAACAUGUGAGUGAGCUUGGACGUGGAUCUUCCCACAGUUCAGCCUUAAGAUGACUACAGCUCCAGCUGACAAUCUAAUCACAGCCUUAUGAGAGACUCUGAGCCUGUGGACCUAGCUAAGCCACACCUGAUCCCUGACUCACAAAAACUGUGAGAUAAUAAAUGUUUGUUGUUUGAAGCCACUAAGCUUUGGGACAAUCUGUUACAUAGCAAUAGAUAACUAAUACCGGUUUUUAAAAAAUCCUUUUAUUUAGGUCAUAAUCGUUUGUAACAUUGUGAAAUUUCAGGUGCACGUUAUUAUUUAUCACUUUCUGUGUAGACUGCAUCGUGCUCAC
rnacentral:lncRNA from 1 species